GUCGUUACAAAGCUAAUCGUACGGAAUCGGGGAGCGUAUUCUAUGGAAACAGUCAUCAGUCAUUUUGGAUUUGACUUUAAGGUUCGUAUAACAGUUGUAUUUGUUACGAAUGAUCAAUUUGGAAACACUUUGGAAAGAUUUCAUGGAGGGCAGUUAGAGGCGAAGGCAUUGGGGUGCAAACGAGUCUAUAUCCUUGAAGCCCAUUGAAGCCCAUCUUCGUGGGCCGUUGAGGGACAAGCAGACAUCCUUUGAUGCUGGCAGCAUUUCGCCGCUGCAUUAGGAUGCAUGUUCAUUGAGCGAAAAAAGGACCAACAAACUUCUUGAACAGC